UAAAAAAUGUUGAAAUUGAAAAUUGUUAUUAUAUUUGUAGUUAGUCAAAUAAACAAAAUACAAACAAAAAAUAUGAUACAACAACAAAUAUUCAACAGUUAAGUAUGUCGAUUUCUUCAUCUAUAUUAUUUUCGGAAAUUUCGAACGCGUUCAAGUCAAGUUCUUUAUCUUUGAGUCUGGUUUUUUAAAACAUUUUAUUAGAAGUAAAAAUAUGGCUCGAGAAAGUGGUCACUAUCCCUGCGCCAUAAAACAGACUUGAUUAGUGUCAUCCGAGGUCAUCAUGUUUACAAGUCGAUGUGGUCCUCUACAAUCGGUGAAAUUCUCUUUACUGCCCCGACUCAAGAGAAGAGGCUCAGCAGUAUGAUAAAUACUGUGUUGGAGUGUAUCAAGAUGAAGAACACGGGGUGCUGGUGGGGCAUAUACCUGUUGAGAUUUCUAGCCUUUGCUAUCAUUUUCUCAACCAAAGUGACGACAAUAUGAUACGUGUGGUAGUGACAGGGAAAAGGCAAAGAGAGGUUGGUUUGGUUGUUCCUGUAAAGUUUAGUUUUGAGACAAGUCGCAAAAAAGAUGCCGAGACGCUCGAAAGGGAACUGUUGAAGGGGAAGGAACUGUUUCCAACAAUAAAACUUAUUUUAAGACGAAAAGGAGUGUACAGAAAGUUUCUUGUUUAUAAGAAAUAAUAAAAUUUUGAAACAAUUAAACUUUUUUUUUACUCGUAGUAAACUGCCAUGCCAUACAUAGGCCAGGGAGAGGACUAAAACAUAAGCAUUGCUGCUGUUUCGAUUAAACGCGCCUUUUGAUAGGGGGCAUUUAGUCGUGGGGGCGUUUAUUAAAUAUUUUGAUAUUUAGGAGGGAGUUUAAUCGAGGGGGCGUUCAUAAGAAGAGGGACGUUUAAUCGAUGCAUUACGGUAGCUUACUGUUAAUGCUCGAUUAAGCGCCCUGGUCGCUUAUUAAAUAUUGUGACUUUUGGAGUGGGCGCUUAUUCGAGAGAGCGAUAAAUCAAGUGGGGCACUUAUCGAAAGAAUCUCGUUUUUCUGUGUUUAAGCUUUCCUUUUGGGAAAUUAUAACAGCGCUAGCUACCUUAGUGACUCUGACGACGCAUCAGCUACAUAAACAAAGAUGAUCAACCAGAAGAAGGAGGGGGCAAACUUGCCCAUAAAAGGAAGAAUAAAGAUAAAAAUUGUUUAUAUCUUUGUCGAAAAAAGUUGUUGGUUGUGCCAUAGCAUUACCGAUACAGAAGGUGAGGAUUUUAUGAUACUAUAUCUUUCGUCUGACCAGUAUUUCCGGUUAAUUUAAGCGACUGAUCUGUUUCUAUGAGCUUUUUUAUGGGCUCAUUAAACAAAAUCUCGCCUUCUAUACAUCCCUGAUGAUUUUUAUCAAUUGUAUAUAGGGACAAGUAGGCUGGCUUUGUAGGUGCGCUACUGUUUACAACCCAGUACACAGGAAACCUUUCCGCUCAUGAACGCUUCAACCUGCUUGUAGAAAAAAUUUUCCAUGCAAACGCUAACUUUUUCAAUUGUUAAUGGGUUUUCUACUGCAACAUUAGUCUUUCAUAACCAGACGUUCUUGUUUUGUUUUUUGUUUUUGAAUAUAAACACAAUUUAAAUCAACCUAGCUAAUGAUACAGCUCUUAUUUGUUUUAUUUAGGCAUACCCAGUGAUAAUCUCUGAGGAUGCAAAAGUAGAAGAAGUGGCUCAGGGAGUUCCAACUCUGUCGUGGUGUUGCAGCACUAAUCCAGUCUCAGCGAUGUGUGGUAUUAGCCGGAUAUAGGUAUUCUCACAAAAUAGAUGUCAAGGAAUUGCCACUCGCUUGGUGGACUGUAUCAGGCAUGAUUUUCUGUACGGAUGUGUGAUUGGAAAACACAAAAUUGCUUUCUCUGAUCCAACACCAAAUGGGUGCGCCUUCGCGGAAAAAUAUACUGGUCAAAAAGAAAUAUUAGUAUUUCGAUGAUAUUAUCAAGAUAUUGAUCAAAAUGCAUCA